rnacentral:rRNA from 1 species
GACGAACGCUGGCGGCGUGCUUAACACAUGCAAGUCGAGCGGUAAGGCCCUUUCGGGGGUACGACGAGCGGCGAACGGGUGAGUAACACGUGGGUGACCUGCCCUCAGCUCUGGGAUAAGCCUGGGAAACCGGGUACUAAUACUGGAUAUGACUCCAUGACGCAUGUUGUGGGGUGGAAAGCCUUGUGCGGCUGAGGAUGGGCCCGCGGCCUAUCAGCUUGUUGGUGGGGUGANGGCCUACCAAGGCGACGACGGGUAGCCGGCCUGAGAGGGCGACCGGCCACACUGGGACUGAGACACGGCCCAGACU